AAGCUUGCUUCUCUGAUGUUAGCGGCGGACGGGUGAGUAACACGUGGAUAACCUACCUAUAAGACUGGGAUAACUUCGGGAAACCGGAGCUAAUACCGGAUAAUAUUUUGAACCGCAUGGUUCAAAAGUGAAAGACGGUCUUGCUGUCACUUAUAGAUGGAUCCGCGCUGCAUUAGCUAGUUGGUAAGGUAACGGCUUACCAAGGCAACGAUGCAUAGCCGACCUGAGAGGGUGAUCGGCCACACUGGAACUGAGACACGGUCCAGACUCCUACGGGAGGCAGCAGUAGGGAAUCUUCCGCAAUGGGCGAAAGCCUGACGGAGCAACGCCGCGUGAGUGAUGAAGGUCUUCGGAUCGUAAAACUCUGUUAUUAGGGAAGAACAUAUGUGUAAGUAACUGUGCACAUCUUGACGGUACCUAAUCAGAAAGCCACGGCUAACUACGUGCCAGCAGCCGCGGUAAUACGUAGGUGGCAAGCGUUAUCCGGAAUUAUUGGGCGUAAAGCGCGCGUAGGCGGUUUUUUAAGUCUGAUGUGAAAGCCCACGGCUCAACCGUGGAGGGUCAUUGGAAACUGGAAAACUUGAGUGCAGAAGAGGAAAGUGGAAUUCCAUGUGUAGCGGUGAAAUGCGCAGAGAUAUGGAGGAACACCAGUGGCGAAGGCGACUUUCUGGUCUGUAACUGACGCUGAUGUGCGAAAGCGUGGGGAUCAAACAGGAUUAG
rnacentral:rRNA from 1 species